GACGAACGCUGGCGGCGUGCUUAACACAUGCAAGUCGAACGGAAAGGCCCUGCUUUUGGGGGGUGCUCGAGUGGCGAACGGGUGAGUAACACGUGAGUAACCUGCCCUUGACUUUGGGAUAACUUCAGGAAACUGGGGCUAAUACCGGAUAGGAGCUCCUGCUGCAUGGUGGGGGUUGGAAAGUUUCGGCGGUUGGGGAUGGACUCGCGGCUUAUCAGCUUGUUGGUGGGGUAGUGGCUUACCAAGGCUUUGACGGGUAGCCGGCCUGAGAGGGUGACCGGCCACAUUGGGACUGAGAUACGGCCCAGACUCCUACGGGAGGCAGCAGUGGGGAAUAUUGCACAAUGGGCGGAAACCUGAUGCAGCAACGCCGCGUGCGGGAUGACGGCCUUCGGGUUGUAAACCGCUUUCGCCUGUGACGAAGCGUGAGUGACGGUAAUGGGUAAAGAAGCACCGGCUAACUACGUG
rnacentral:rRNA from 1 species